rnacentral:rRNA from 1 species
GGGGGGGNCCANUCUGGUGCCAGCAGCCGCGGUAAUUCCAGCUCCAANAGCGUAUAUUAAAGUUGUUGCAGUUAAAAAGCUCGUAGUUGAAUUUCGGGAUUGACGUGAUGGUCGUGCCUUACGGGGUAUGAACUGUUGCUGUUGAUUUCUCACCUUCUGGAGAAUCUUGAUGUCCUUAAUUGGGUGUCUUGCGGAUCCAGGACCUUUACCUUGAAAAAAUUAGAGUGUUUAAAGCAGGCAUUUUUGCUCGAAUACAUUAGCAUGGAAUAAUAGAAUAGGACGGCAUGGUUCUAUUUUGUUGGUUUCUAGGAUCACCGUAAUGAUUAAUAGGGAUAGUUGGGGGCAUUAGUAUUCAAUUGUCAGAGGUGAAAUUCUUGGAUUUAUUGAAGACUAACUACUGCGAAAAGCAUUUGCCAAGGAUGUUUUCAUUAAUCAAGAACGAAAGUUAGGGGAUCGAAGACGAUCAGAUACCGUGCGUAGUCUUAACCAUAAACUAUGCCGACUAGGGAUCGGAUGAUGUUAAUUUUAUUAAUGACUCAUUCGGCGCCUUA